CCCAGAUGGCACUGGUCAAUCUCCAAGCCAUUCCCUUGCUUGUCCAUCUUCAAUAUCACCUGCAGUUAGACAUCUCUGAGAGGCUGACACUGAGCAGACCAGACAAGCUGAUUCAGGGUUUAGCCACAUCAGAGUACCUAUGUGUGCCCGCGUGGGGUUAAUUGCUUUGCUCCAGAAUACAACAGCAGCUGAGUCGGGCCGAAGAUGGUGAAGUACAGCUAGCAACACCCCCUGAACAUCCUGUGUUGUGUCCAGAAUAGCACAGCAAUGCAAAAUACCCUAGAAUGUAUUAUUACGAUGUUAUAAUUGAUAUUAAAGUUCUAUCAAAAACUGAA